rnacentral:rRNA from 1 species
GAUGAACGCUGGCGGCGUGCCUAAUACAUGCAAGUCGAGCGAACAGACGAGGAGCUUGCUCCGCUGACGUUAGCGGCGGACGGGUGAGUAACACGUGGAUAACCUACCUAUAAGACUGGGAUAACUUCGGGAAACCGGAUCUAAUACCGGAUAAUAUAUUGAACCGCAUGGUUCAAUGGUGAAAGACGGUUUUGCUGUCACUUAUAGAUGGAUCCGCGCCGCAUUAGCUAGUUGGUAAGGUAACGGCUUACCAAGGCAACGAUGCGUAGCCGACCUGAGAGGGUGAUCGGCCACACUGGAACUGAGACACGGUCCAGACUCCUACGGGAGGCAGCAGUAGGGAAUCUUGCGCAAAGGGCGAAAGCCUGACGGAGCAACGCCGCGUGAGUGAUGAAGGUCUUCGGAUCGUAAAACUCUGUUAUUAGGGAAGAACAAAUGUGUAAGUAACUAUGCACGUCUUGACGGUACCUAAUCAGAAAGCCACGGCUAACUACGUG